GAAAUUGAAAUCGCUGUGAAGAUGCAGUGUACCCGCGGCUAGACGGAAAGACCCCGUGAACCUUUACUACAGCUUGGCACUGAACAUUGACCCUACAUGUGUAGGAUAGGUGGGAGGCUUUGAAGCACGUACGCCAGUAUGUGUGGAGCCGUCCUUGAAAUACCACCCUUGUAGUGUUGAUGUUCUAACGUCGACCCCUUAUCGGGGUUGCGGACAGUGCCUGGUGGGUAGUUUGACUGGGGCGGUCUCCUCCCAAAGAGUAACGGAGGAGCACGAAGGUGGGCUAAUCACGGUUGGACAUCGUGAGGUUAGUGCAAUGGCAUAAGCCCGCUUGACU
rnacentral:rRNA from 1 species